GUGUUGCCCAGUUCAGUGGUAGAAUGCUCGCCAGCUACGCGGGCGACCCGGAUUCGAUUCUCGGCCAAUGCA